GCCGCGGGGGCCAUUGAUACAGAGGCCUGCUGCGCUUGGUGUGCGCGGCCCGGCCGGGCCUCUGGAAACGCCCAUGAGAAAUGAGCUCAUGCUGGAUGCGCGCGCUCCUUGGGCGCAACUGCCCAGCGCAAAACGGGCCCCGAAAGCAGGGUCUCACUUUGUCCUCCAGGCUGGAGUGCUGCAGCCUCAACCUCCUGGGUUCAAGGGAUCCUGCUGCCUCAGCCCCCCAAGUAGCUAGGACUACAAGGUGCACCACCACACCCAGCUAAUUUUUAUAUUUUUUGUAUAAAUGGGGUUUCGCCAUGUUGCCCAGACUGGUCUCGAACUCCUGGGCUCAAAAUCUGCAUGCCAUGGCUUCUCAAAAUGCUAGGAUUACUGGCGUGAGUCACCAUGCCUGGCCUAUAAUUUGUUAAUAUGGUUGUUACUACAUAGUUUAAAAUAAAUUGCCCAUGCAUUCCUAUUUAUAAUAGGUGAGUGGAGGACACUUCAAUCUAAAGUGAUCUUAAAGGAUGAGUAGUAGGAUUUGAAGAUGAAGAAAGAAGAG
rnacentral:lncRNA from 1 species